rnacentral:rRNA from 1 species
GUUAGGAAUAUUGGACAAUGGGCGAAAGCCUGAUCCAGCCAUGCCGCGUGAACGAUGAAGGCCUUCGGGUUGUAAAGUUCUUUAGCCGAUGAUUAUAAUGACUGUAGUCGGAAAAUAAGCCCCGGCUAACUUCGUGCCAGCAGCCGCGGUAAUACGAAGGGGGCGAGCGUUAUUCGGAAUCACUGGGCGUAAAGCGUGCGUAGGCGGUUUUGUAAGUUAGGAGUGAAAGCUCAGGGCUCAACCUUGGAAUUGAUCUUAAAACUGCAAGGCUCAAAUCUCGGAGAGGAUAGCGGAAUUUCCAGUGUAGCAGUGAAAUGCGUAGAUAUUGGAAGGAACACCAGUGGCGUAAGCGGCUAUCUGGACGAGUAUUGACGCUGAGGCACGAAAGCGUGGGGAUCAAACAGGAUUAGAAACCCGAGUAGUCC